rnacentral:rRNA from 1 species
CAUUUGCAUUCAAAAGCGGAGGAAACUAAUGCAUAUCCCAAAAGCGGAGGAAAAGAAACCAACAGGGAUUGCCCCAGUAACGGCGAGUGAAGCGGCAAAAGCUCAAAUUUGAAAUCCUGCGGGAAUUGUAAUUUGAAGGUUUCGUGGUCUGAGUCGGCCGCGCCCAAGUCCAUUGGAACAUGGCGCCUGGGAGGGUGAGAGCCCCGUAUGGCGCACGCCGACUCUUUGCACCGCGGCUCCGACGAGUCGAGUUGUUUGGGAAUGCAGCUCUAAGUGGGUGGUAAAUUCCAUCUAAAGCUAAAUAUUGGCGAGAGACCGAUAGCGAACAAGUACAGUGAUGGAAAGAUGAAAAGCACUUUGAAAAGAGAGUGAAACAGCACGUGAAAUUGUUGAAAGGGAAGGGCUUGCAAGCAGACACGGUUUUACCGGGCCAGCGUCGAAAAGGGGGGAGGAACAAGAACUCGAGAAUGUGGCGCGCACCUUCGGGUGCGCGUGUUAUAGCUCGUGUUGACGCCUCCAUCCUUUUCGAGGCCUGCGAUCUAGUCCCCC